rnacentral:rRNA from 1 species
AUGAACGCUGGCGGCGUGCCUCAUACAUGCAAGUCGAGCGAACGGACGAGAAGCUUGCUUUUCUGAUGUUAGCGGCGGACGGGUGAGUAACACGUGGAUAACCUACCUAUAAGACUGGGAUAACUUCGGGAAACCGGAGCUAAUACCGGAUAAUAUUUUGAACCGCAUGGUUCAAAAGUGAAAGACGGUCUUGCUGUCACUUAUAGAUGGAUCCGCGCUGCAUUAGCUAGUUGGUAAGGUAACGGCUUACCAAGGCAACGAUGCAUAGCCGACCUGAGAGGGUGAUCGGCCACACUGGAACUGAGAAACGGUCCAGACUCCUACGGGAGGCAGCAGUAGGGAAUCUUCCGCAAUGGGCGAAAGCCUGACGGAGCAACGCCGCGUGAGUGAUGAAGGUCUUCGGAUCGUAAAACUCUGUUAUUAGGGAAGAACAUAUGUGUAAGUAACUGUGCACAUCUUGACGGUACCUAAUCAGAAAGCCACGGCUAACUACGUG